CUUCAGGUAAUGUUCACAUCUAAACAUCAGAAAAGGUGUGAUCUCUGUGACUGUGACCGUGCCAUGGUUGUUGGUGCCAGAAGGGCUGGUUUGAGUAUUUCAGAAACUGCUGAUCUCGUGGGAAUUUCACACACAACAGUCUGUAGAGUUUACACAGAAUGGUGCGAAAAACAAAAGACAUCCCGUGAGCAGAAGGCCUGCAGGACUAAGAGUAUUAUCAGCCUAAAAACUUUGUUGCGGAGAGGUAGGUCUGUAGUCAUCGUUUGAAGACUGCCAGUGACUCAGCUGUUCGGACAUCUGGGGGAAGUUCGUUCCACCACCUAGGUGCCAGAACAACAAAGGGGCUUCCUUGUACUUGGAUGAGAGAUGUUGAUGAGAGAGAUCAGAGGAGAAUGACCAGCCUGGUUUGAGCUGACAGAAAGUCUAUAAUAACUAAAAUAUGCACUCUUUACAACCACGGUGAGCGGAAAAGCAUCUCCGAACCCAUGACCACGGACUCACCUGGAAAGUUGCAAAGGGUUAGGGUUAGGGAAAAAAGACCAGGUGAUUUGUUUAAUAAUCUUCAACUGCCCAGUUUGGGUGACUCUAUGUCCAUGAUAGCCUCAGAUCCCUGUUCUUGGCUGACAGGAGUGGAACCCGAUGUGUUCUUCUGCUGUUGUAGCUCAUCCACCUCUAGAUUCGAUGUUUUGUUUAUGCUGAGAUGCUUUUCUGCUCACCACAGUUGUAAAGAGUGAUUAUAUGAGUUACUGUUCCCUUCCUGGCACCUCGAACCAAUCUAUCCAUUUUCCUCUGACCUCUCUCAUCAACAAGGCUUAUUUACUUGAAAUACUGUUCCAGCAUGACAAUAACCCUGGUGCACAAAGCAAGCUCCAUGAAGACAUGAUUUGUUAAGUUUGGAGUGGAAGAACACAGCCACACUAUAAAAUCUAGUGGAAAGCCUUCUCAGAAAAGUGGAGGUGCUAGCCUUCUUAAGAGCACUGUGAAAUCCAUUAUAACAAAGUGGAGAAAAUGUUCCACAACCCAGACACUAACAAGAUCAGGCCAAACUGAGUGCUUGGGUAAGAAGGGCAAUUGUUAAAGAAGUGUCCAAGAAUCCAGCUACAACACUGAACGGAUUACAGAGCUCACUGGCUGAAAUAGGAGAACCUGUGCAGACCUCAACAAUGUCAUCAGCUCUUCACAGAUCUGGCCUCAGAUUCUACUCCUGAGAAAGGCUAACAUAAAGACAUGCCUAGGGUUUGCUAGAAGGGCAUGUAACAAAAUCUGUGAGUUUUUUGAAAAGGAUUUUGAGAUAUUUGGUCUAAAUGCAAAGUAUUGUGUUUGCAAUAAUACAAUCCAACAGCCAGGUAACACCUAUCCUACUACCAAGCAUGGUGGUGGUAGCAUCACAGGCAACAUGGAUAUAGCCAAAUC